rnacentral:lncRNA from 1 species
UUGAGGCAAGGUUCGGUGAGCUGGGCCAUUGUAGCAGCAUUAGUAGAAGUUGAGUUUUUUCCUUCCGCUUAUGUCACACUUAACGCAUUGUAGGAAUUGCAACAGUUUUGUUUUCUUUCCGAUUAGACUCUUGUCUGUGUUCUGUUCGCCACUCGGCAUGCCCAAGCAUGUAUCUUCUUCGAAGCAGUCGUCAUGUUGUGUGGAGUGUAAAGAGAGAAGUAGCAAUUCCUAUUGUUGCUUUUGUGUUAGGAUUUUCUUGAUGGACGGAAGGAGCUGUGUUGACAAAGUGAGUGCAUGUUGUGUGUAUUAGUGUGUGUGUGAGAGAGAGAGAGAGAGAGAGAGAGAGAGGUGAUGGAGCUAACAUAAAAGAGCAUUUUUUAGUUGAGAAUAUAAAUGAAAUUCUAGCCAGUGCUAUUGAUUGACAAGCACUCUAUAGAUCUGAGAAGCUGGACGUGAGGUUUGGGAGUUGCUGCAUUGACGCCACAUGGGUGUUGAUGAGGACUUGUUUGUCUAUUGGAACACACUUCAGUUGCAAUUCUUUGUUCAUUUUCAAGAUUGGUUGUGGUUUUUGCGAAGAAAAAAAUAUAUAAAUGUUGCUUGAGCGGGUGAUCCAGUGCAACUUAAGUCCAAUAUUGUUGGCCUAUUCGAACCAGAAGCUACGCAUAUCUCAACAAUUCUAGGUUUUUUUAUUCAAUCGUGUUCCUUGGUCUACCACAACUUUGAGGCUGCGAUUGACGAGGCUCGAGUAAUAACGUAGGUAGUAUCUAGUGCAAAAGUAGAGGAGGUACUAUUAGUGGCUGUAUUGCCAUACCAAAAGGUCUUGUGAUCUGAGUACAGAUAUUCAAACGAUUGUACAAGCAAAAGCAAGAUACAGGGAAUUCCUAACCACACUAACUACUAGAUAUGCAAAUCCAGCUCCAUUCAAGCAGUGUCAUCCACUCGGUACUUCGUGUAAUUUGGUGGCGUUUCGAUCUAAAGGCUUGUAAUUACUGCCAUUAUGGAUCUUCUUCGAACUGUCAUCCACUUCCAGGGGCAUCCAGGGGGCAAUUCAGCAAGGGUGUUGGUAUGAUUCUUCGACAAGGUUGACUACGAUUUCUGCAAGGAAAGGAUAAGAGUACAUUGCUCGGUCGGUCAUCAUCAUAGUAGAGGACCUUCUUCAAACUGCCAUCCACUUCCAAUGGAUGAUCUCCCCGGAUUGGAUGAUCAGUUAGACAAAUGGAUUAGGAUAACCUAAUUGAAUUGAGAUGAUAAAUUUAACUAUGAAUGAAUUUUAAUCAUGGAUGAAGU